rnacentral:misc_RNA from 1 species
GUUAUUGUUUGAUCGCGAGAUAAGAGCGCUAGAGUGACGCCGCGAAACCCAGAAGGACGACACGAUGAUUGACGACGAAUCUAAAAGCUUUUCAUGGAGAUUUGAUUUCUUUCAACCUUUUUCCAUGAAAUUUGACGAUUCCUGUUUUAUCGAUAACUUUCCAUGGAUCAUAACAAUAUCGACGACAACGCAUCUAAUCG